CCCUUCGAUGUUCUGGGCCGCACGCGUGUUACACUGAUAAAUUCAACGAGUCUAGAACCUGUUCUGAGAAGAAUGGGGAAUCUUGUGAAAUUUUAUCGUGAUAGGGAUAGAUGAUUGCAAUUAUUCAUCUUAAACGAGGAAUGCCUAGUAAGGGCAGUUCAUCAAACUGUCCUGAUUACGUCCCUGCCCUUUGUACACACCGCCCGUCGCUCCUACCGAUUGGAUGGUCCGGUGAAGCCUCGGGAUUGUGGUUCUUGCCGCUUUAUUGUGGCGUGACCGCGAGAACUUGUCUAAACCUUAUCAUCUAGAGGAAGGUGAAGUCGUAACA
rnacentral:rRNA from 1 species